UGUCGUUGUCGGUGGCGGUAGUGGCUCAGUGCAUAGCUCGGACGCAUCAAUACUUGCCUAUCCAUUGGUUGCCAUCGACGAAAUUCCACGACAAGAAUGGUCGCGCCUGCGCGUCGGUAAGCUCCUUGGACCAGUUCACUCGUCCCUUGGUGUCAGCUCCGACGCCUGUGCACUUGUAUUGCCCGUAAUACACCGUCCUGAAGCAUCGACAGUUUGUAACUUAAGUUUGUUGGAUCGGCAUCCUCUCAAGUCUAGAAAAGUAUGAUACUAGCAAGAUUGGAAAGCUGUAGGGGUAACUCGGAAGUGUGUGUGUUUUUUAGGUGGUGAUGGACAAUCUGGAGAUGGUGGUGAAGUAAGAGAGGGAGUGGAGAUCUUACUUUUCUCUAGCAGGAUCGCCCCAGUUGUACCACCCUGCGGGAAUAAUGGGGGCGGAGAUGUCGGUGUACAGGAGCACGACCCUGGAGUAAGGACCCCAAGCGCGGCCAAUGUAGAUAGGCCCGUUCCCGGUGACGUUGCAACGAACGAAGGAAAACCCGCUAGUCUCCGCUUUCGUCAUCUUCUUCUGGGCGGUCAAGGACCCGCUGCCAGGGUUGGCAAUCGAGUGCAAAUGACAUGUCUGCAUUGGGAUUCAAUCGGUGAGUUUGGAAUUCACUGGAGUUGUUCCUGUUUUCCUGAUGUCCUACUCAGUUGAGCGUUUCGCGGAGUGACUGAAGAGUUGCGAGAGAAUGUAGUUGGCAGGUUUUUACCUCAUAAUACGACUGACCGUUGCCGAAGACGAAGUCGAUGGAGCCCUGGAUGUAGCAAUCUUUGAAGUAAUGCCUCCCCUGCUUGUCGUAUAAGGUAUCCUGGGCUCCGAGGAAGGCCACGCGAUAGAACUGAGCCUUGUCUCCUUCGAUUCUGAAUGCUACUGCUUGCUGCCCCACAGCACCGCCUGGUGGAGGAGGGCUCGAGUUCUGUUCCCCAACCCAUGGUGAUGCCACUUUAGAACAUGACGUCUUUAGGAAGCAGAGUGACAGUUUAGCUACACAGCAUGCGAAUCAGUUGGGUACAGAAGGAGGUUGCAAGCAACGCUUACAAAAUUAGUGGCUUGAGUAUGAUGACUGAUAGAAGCAUGACUAAAGAGAUAGUGUUUCGUUUGUUUGUUUGUUUGUUUUUUUUUUUUUUUUUUUUUUUUUUACCUCGAAGGUGAGGUCCUUGGCAACAAAAUAAUCAGACAUGACAGCGAAGGAAGCACUCUGAGAUGUGGAACCCGCUUCCUCUGCAGUAUCGCCGUAUGACAGGAUCGUUACGCCAGCACCCGCUCCUUCAAUUGUUAUGUAGGGCUUAUCCUUUGGGAUUUCGAUCUUCUCCCUGCCACAUCAGAAUUCCACCAGUUUGAUCUGAUUCAGAAGCUCUUCUUUCAUGGCCAUGUCCAGCUACUUAAGACAUUAAAUCCCGAGUUUAAUUUGCCAAAGGCGCUUGUAGAAUUGAGUUGCCGUACUGCCUAGAGGACUUCUUUCGAGCCUUCAUGACAAAGUUAGCGAACAUUGUCCAAGAUGGUGAACACAAACACUUACUUGUAGAAACCUUUAGCAAUUCUGAUGACGCAUCGAACAGAGUUGCCUUUAGGAAUCGACUUGAUUGCAGCUUUCACUUUUGUGUACUUCGCUCCAGACCCUUUCUUCCCCACUGUCCUUAUGCAAGUGGCCUCUUGUGGCGGCGAGGGGGUUGCCUCGACGCUGAAAUCUCCACCUGGAAGGGUCUGAGUGUCCAAAACAGUUGAUUCGGAGUUCUGAGCCUCAUACUUGGCUUGGUUACGUGCAAUCCAGGCGUCAAAAUCUUCCUCUGGAGUUGGUACAGUCUGAGACGAAACUGUGAGAAAAAAUCCUGUUGCUAAGACGAGGGUGCACAGAAGAGCAGCUCUAGA
rnacentral:lncRNA from 1 species